GUAGUAUGAUAGGUGUUGUUGUACAGGGUCAUAGUAGUAUGAUAGGUGUUGUUGUACAGGGUCAUAGUAGUAUGAUAGGUGUUGUUGUACAGGGUCAGUCAUAGUAGUAUGAUAGGUGUUGUUGUACAGGGUCAGUCAUAGUAGUAUGAUAGGUGUUGUUUUACAGGGUCAUAGUAGUAUGAUAGGUGUUGUUUUACAGGGUCAGUCAUAGUAGUAUGAUAGGUGUUGUUUUACAGGGUCAGUCAUAGUAGUAUGAUAGGUGUUGUUUUACAGGGUCAGUCAUAGUAGUAUGAUAGGUGUUGUUUUACAGGGUCAGUCAUAGUAGUAUGAUAGGUGUUGUUUUACAGGGUCAUAGUAGUAUGAUAGGUGUUGUUGUACAGGGUCAGUCAUAGUAGUAUGAUAGGUGUUGUUUUACAGGGUCAGUCAUAGUAGUAUGAUAGGUGUUGUUUUACAGGGUCAGACAUAGUAGUAUGAUAGGUGUUGUUUUACAGGGUCAGUCAUAGUAGUAUGAUAGGUGUUGUUGUACAGGGUCAGUCAUAGUAGUAUGAUAGGUGUUGUUUUACAGGGUCAGUCAUAGUAGUAUGAUAGGUGUUGUUUUACAGGGUCAGUCAUAGUAGUAUGAUAGGUGUUGUUUUACAGGGUCAGUCAUAGUAGUAUGAUAGGUGUUGUUUUACAGGGUCAGUCAUAGUAGUAUG